rnacentral:misc_RNA from 1 species
GUCUUAUCAACUCUGAUAAUCAGGUGCCAACUUCUCUGUCUCUGUCUCUCAAUAAAUUCUGCUCCAAAAUUUUGAGGAUUAGUUUUGUUUUGAUUGAUGGGAUAUUUCUGACAACUGGUGAAUUUGUAUUUAGGAAACUGUAAAGACAUUUAAGAGUGGCUUGUGCUGUAUGAUUAGGAGGUUAUUGGACGUGAUGAUUUUGUCCAUAUGCGUUUGUUUGUUUUCGAUAAUGUU